UACGAAGGGGGCUAGCGUUGCUCGGAAUGACUGGGCGUAAAGGGCGCGUAGGCGGAUGGCACAGUCAGAUGUGAAAUUCCUGGGCUUAACCUGGGGGCUGCAUUUGAUACGUGUUGUCUUGAGUGAGGAAGAGGGUCGUGGAAUUCCCAGUGUAGAGGUGAAAUUCGUAGAUAUUGGGAAGAACACCGGUGGCGAAGGCGGCGACCUGGUCCUUAACUGACGCUGAGGCGCGAAAGCGUGGGGGAGCAAACAGG
rnacentral:rRNA from 1 species